CCUACGGGUGGCAGCAGUGAGGAAUAUUGGUCAAUGGACGGAAGUCUGAACCAGCCAAGUAGCGUGCAGGAUGACGGCCCUAUGGGUUGUAAACUGCUUUUAUGCGGGGAUAAAGUUAGUCACGUGUGACUAUUUGCAGGUACCGCAUGAAUAAGGACCGGCUAAUUCCGUGCCAGCAGCCGCGGUAAUACGGAAGGUCCCGGCGUUAUCCGGAUUUAUUGGGUUUAAAGGGAGCGUAGGCCGUGGAUUAAGCGUGUUGUGAAAUGUAGACGCUCAACGUCUGACUUGCAGCGCGAACUGGUUCACUUGAGUGUGCGCAACGCAGGCGGAAUUCGUGGUGUAGCGGUGAAAUGCUUAGAUAUCACGAAGAACUCCGAUUGCGAAGGCAGCUUGCGGGAGCACAACUGACGCUGAAGCUCGAAAGUGCGGGUAUCAAACAG
rnacentral:rRNA from 1 species